UCAACUGAGGCCGCGUCCUGAAGGAAUCACCGGCAUUUUCAACUUUCUUACCAAUCGUUUCACAUUGUUUAUAACUUCUACUUCUCUUUUUUACAUAGAAAGCAGGCUCUGGGUUUUCUACCGAAAAGCUGUUUGUACUCUGACGUCUGGCAAUCAUGUUGUUGAGAAUACCAAGACUAGUUUUGUGUGUAUGCACAGUUGUGGUGUUUCUAUCCAAUUUUGCUUGUCAUUCAGAUGGCUUAGCUGUUAUGUCCGUGGACCUUGGAAGUCAGUUCAUGAAAAUAGCCAUAGUUAAGCCUGGUGUCCCAAUGGAAAUAGCACUCAACCAGUAA